AUUGAACGCUGGCGGCAUGCUUUACACAUGCAAGUCGAGCGGCAGCGCGGGGGCAACCCUGGCGGCGAGCGGCGAACGGGUGAGUAAUGCAUCGGAACGUACCCUGGAGUGGGGGAUAACGCCGCGAAAGCGGCGCUAAUACCGCAUAUGCUCUGAGGAGGAAAGUGGGGGACCGCAAGGCCUCACGCUCUGGGAGCGGCCGAUGUCCGAUUAGCUAGUUGGUGGGGUAAAGGCUUACCAAGGCGGCGAUCGGUAGCUGGUCUGAGGGGAUGAGCAGCCACACUGGGACUGAGACACGGCCAAGACUCCUACGGGAGGCAGCAGUGGGGAAUUUUGGACAAUGGGGGCAACCCUGAUCCAGCCAUGCCGGGUGAGUGAAGAAGGCCUUCGGGUUGUAAACCGCUUUUGGCAGGAACGAAACGGCGCAAGCCAAUACCUUGCGCUAAUGACGGUACCUGCGGAAUAAGCACCGGCUAACUACGUGCCAGCCGCCGCCGUAACAC
rnacentral:rRNA from 1 species